rnacentral:rRNA from 1 species
AGUGAACGCUGGCGGUAGGCCUAACACAUGCAAGUCGAACGACCGCACAAUAAGAGCUUGCUCCUGCGGGUGGCGAGUGGCGGACGGGUAAGGCGUACAUCGGCAUCUACUAUUUCGGGGAGGAUAACGUAGGGAAAGUGACGCUAAUACAUAAUACAACCUACGGGAUAAAGCAGUAGAUAUAGGGAGUUUGGCCGACAGAAAGAGACGCAGCCGCAUUAGCUAGUUGAGUGGGUAAGGGAACACCAAGCCCACGAUACGUAGCGGAUCUGAGAGGAUGACCAGCCACACUGGAACUGAGACACGGUCCAGACUCCUACGGGAGGCAGCAGUGGGGAAUAUUGCACAAAGGGCGAAAGCCUGACCCAGCCACGCCGCGUGAGUGAUGAAGGUCUUCGGGUUGUAAAGCUCUGUUGUUGGGAAAGAACAGCUGCAUGUUAAUCCCCCGCUGUUCUGACGGUACCCAAAGAAUAAGCACCGGCUAACUUCGUG